GAUGAACGCUAGCGGCAGGCUUAACACAUGCAAGUCGAGGGGCAGCGCGGGAUAGCAAUAUCCUGGCGGCGACCGGCGGAAGGGUGCGUAACGCGUGAGCGACAUGCCCGUUGCCCGGGGACAACCGGUGGAAACGCCGACUAAUCCCCGAUGGGAUACGAUGCUUCAUGGCAUUGUAUUGAAAGUUACGGCGGCGACGGAUUGGCUCGCGUCCGAUUAGCUGGUUGGCGGGGUAACGGCCCACCAAGGCUGCGAUCGGUAGGGGUUCUGAGAGGAAGGCCCCCCAGAAUGGGACUGAGACACGGCCCAUACUCCUACGGGAGGCAGCAGUGAGGAAUAUUGGUCAAGGGGCGGAAGCCUGAACCAGCCAUGCCGCGUGCGGGAAGGAGGCCCUAUGGGCUGUGAACCGCUUUUGCCUGGGGGCAAUAAGGGCGUCGCGCACGUCCGAUGAGAGUACCAGGCGAAUAAGCAUCGGCUAACUCCGUG
rnacentral:rRNA from 1 species